AGUAAGUUAAUAUAUUAAACUGGGGGGUUCAUGUCUCCUUUAUACAUUUUUGUGUCUA
rnacentral:tRNA from 1 species